rnacentral:rRNA from 1 species
CUCAGGAUGAACGCUAGCGGCAGGCUUAAUACAUGCAAGUCGUGGGGCAGCAGGUUUGUAGCAAUACAGAUGCUGGCGACCGGCAAACGGGUGCGGAACACGUACAGAACCUUCCUUUGAGCGGGGAAUAGCCCAGAGAAAUUUGGAUUAAUACCCCAUAGUAUAAUGAAGUGGCAUCACUUUAUUAUUAAAGAUUUAUCACUCGAAGAUGGCUGUGCGGCUGAUUAGGUAGUUGGCGGGGUAAAGGCCCACCAAGCCUGCGAUCAGUAACUGGUGUGAGAGCACGACCAGUCACACGGGCACUGAGACACGGGCCCGACUCCUACGGGAGGCAGCAGUAAGGAAUAUUGGUCAAUGGAGGCAACUCUGAACCAGCCAUGCCGCGUGGAGGAUGAAGGUCCUCUGGAUUGUAAACUUCUUUAUAUGGGACGAAAAAAGGCUUUCUAAGUCGUCUGACAGUACCAUAUGAAUAAGCACCGGCUAACUCCGUG